UACGUAGGGGGCGAGCGUUGUCCGGAGUUACUGGGCGUAAAGAGCGUGUAGGCGGUUGGAAAAGUCAGGUGUGAAAUUCUUCGGCUCAACCGGGGGACUGCGCCUGAAACUUUCCGACUGGAGUUCGGGAGGGGCAACUGGAAUUCCUGGUGUAACGGUGAAAUGUGUAGAUAUCAGGAGGAACACCCGUGGCGAAGGCGGGUUGCUGGACCGAAACUGACGCUGAGACGCGAAAGCGUGGGUAGCAAACAGGAUUAGAUACCCUGGUAGUCCACGCUGUAAACGAUGAGUGCUAGGUGUAGGGGGUAUCGACUCCUUCUGUGCCGCAGCUAACGCAUUAAGCACUCCGCCUGGGGAGUACGGUCGCAAGAUUAAA
rnacentral:rRNA from 1 species